ACACCGUUGGUGAAGUGGUUAUCAUGCUUGCCUUCCAUACAUAUCCAAUGUCAGCAAGCGGGCUGGGUUCGAUUCCCAGACGGUGUA